UGGACAUAUGCAUCAAUUUUGAAUUUAUGUUUGCGUUCUACAAUUGUUUUUCUGUGUUGUGGUUCUUAUCCAUCUCGUCGUUUCUUUUGUUCGAGUUGGCGUCUAUUCCUUGUUCUUUUUCUUUCGCAUUGUAGUUUUUUCGGUUUUUUCCGCUACUUGUAUCAUUCUGUAACCAUCUCUUAGAAACGAAAAUGGUAUAAGAUUAAUACCAAAAAGAACUUUGGACCUAGGGCCUCAUGAC
rnacentral:sRNA from 1 species